rnacentral:rRNA from 1 species
GACGAACGCUGGCGGCGUGCUUAACACAUGCAAGUCGAACGAUGAUGCUGGAGCUUGCUCCAGUUGAUUAGUGGCGAACGGGUGAGUAACACGUGAGCAAUCUGCCCUUGACUCUGGGAUAACUGCGGGAAACUGUAGCUAAUACCGGAUACUUUCACCGGGGGGCAUCCUCUGGUGAUGAAAGAAUUUCGGUCAAGGAUGAGCUCGCGGCCUAUCAGCUUGUUGGUGAGGUAACGGCUCACCAAGGCGACGACGGGCAACCGGCCUGAGAGGGUGACCGGUCACACUGGGACUGAGACACGGCCCAGACUCCUACGGGAGGCAGCAGUGGGGAAUAUUGCACAAUGGGCGCAAGCCUGAUGCAGCAACGCCGCGUGUGGGAUGAAGGCCUUCGGGUUGUAAACCUCUUUUAGCAGGGAAGAAGCGAAAGUGACGGUACCUGCAGAAAAAGCACCGGCUAACUACGUGCCAGCCGCCGCUGUAA